rnacentral:rRNA from 1 species
CCUACGGGAGGCAGCAGUGGGGAAUAUUGCACAAUGGGGGAAACCCUGAUGCAGCGACGCCGCGUGAGUGAAGAAGUAAUUCGUUGUGUAAAGCUCUAUUAGCAGGGAAGAAAAUGAAGGUACCUGAGUAAGAAGCCCCGGAUAACUACGUGCCAGCUGCCGCGGUAAUACGUAGGGGGCAAGGGUUAUCCGGAUUUACUGGGUGUAAAGGGAGCGUAGGCGGCAGGACAAGUCUGGAGUGAAAGGCGGGGGCUCAACCCCCGGACUGCUGUUGAAACUGUACGGCUAGAGUGCAGGAGAGGUAAGUGGAAUGCAUAGUGUAGCGGUGAAAUGCGUAGAUAUUAUGCGGAACACCGGUGGCGAAGGCAGCUUACUGGGCUAUUACUGACGUUGAGGCUCGAAAGCGUGGGGAGCAAACAGGAUUAGAUACCCGAGUAGUC